rnacentral:rRNA from 1 species
ACGCACGCUGGCGGCAGGCCUCACACAUGCAAGUCGCGCGAGGACUUCGGUUCUAGCGGCGGACGGGUGAGUAACGCGUGGGAAUGUGCCCUUCUCUACGGAAUAGCCCUGGGAAACUGGGAGUAAUACCGUAUACGCCCUAUUGGGGAAAGAUUUAUCGGAGAAGGAUCAGCCCGCGUUGGAUUAGGUAGUUGGUGGGGUAAUGGCCUACCAAGCCGACGAUCCAUAGCUGGUUUGAGAGGAUGAUCAGCCACACUGGGACUGAGACACGGCCCAGACUCCUACGGGAGGCAGCAGUGGGGAAUCUUAGACAAUGGGGGCAACCCUGAUCUAGCCAUGCCGCGUGAGUGAUGAAGGCCUUAGGGUUGUAAAGCUCUUUCAGCUGGGAAGAUAAUGACGGUACCAGCAGAAGAAGCCCCGGCUAACUCCGUG